UAUCCACACGCUCCCUCUCCAGCCGCGGCAGCGCAGGACUCACGCCUGGCCCUCGCCGACCCUCCGCCCCGCAGUGGUGCGCCCGAGCUUGGGCGCGCCGCCGCUGUGUCCGCGCUGGUCCUGGAUCCUAGGCGCGGUCCUCCUCGACCUUCGAUCCCCUCGCUUCAACGGCGGCGGCACCCCGUCCUUCCAUUGAUCGCCCGAUUCCGGCCAACUCCGGCGCCUUCCUCGGGCUGCCGCUCACGGUAACGGAUCCCCUCGCCGCCCCCUACCGAUUCGCCCUGCAGCCAGCCUUCCUCGCCGCCCCGGCGAGCCCCUUGGCCACCGAGGAGAUGAGUUGCACCGCCUGUGAGCACCCCUCCCGAUUCAUCUCUUUCCUCGCCAGCAUCGGCCGCGCGAGCAGGAGCUCACCAUCGGCCAUGGAUGCGGCCUAGAACUGCUGCCGCCCCUGCCCUGCCGUGCGCCGACGGCCAUGGACUAGCCGCGCGAGUAGGAGCACGCCACGGCAGGCGCGCAUGGAUGCGGCCGAGAACUGCUGCCGCCCCUGAACUAAAGCCGCAUGAUGCUGCUGCCGCUGGGGCGUGCUGCUGCUCGCCUCUCCAGUCCGCCGGUGCCUCCCGCUCGGGUGGCGUCCCGGGCUGACGGUGAGGCACCGCAUGCGUCCGAGCUGCUGCUUGCGUCGCCUCGCGACCGCUGCUGGACCCGAGGGAGCCGCCAGCUGCGCGCGUCCAGGGGAGCACCUGAGCAGCUCGCGUUCGAGCUGAGGGCUACGUGCGCGCGCGAGGGAGCAGCUACCCAGUGCAGCGGCAUCAGCUAGCAACCUCUGAAUUCAGUGUUGCAGAAUUCUGGAGGCAACUACGUGUAUAUCCUGUUCAUGAAAGCUUUCAUUUGAAAGCUCAUAAGGUCAAUUUUGUUCCUUUUUCAUUUUUGUUCUUUCAUUUGAAAGCUCAUAUGGUCAAUUUUGGAGGCAACUACAUGUAUAUACUGUUGAUGUUACAUGUAAACAAAUUAUGGCAAGCAGCACAAGUUUCUUUGUUUGUAAAUUAAGCAGUCUGGUAGAUUUGGAAAGGAGGAACAGGGUACUGAACUUCUAUAUAUCAGCAUAAGAUGUUUUCCUAUGCCUUGAGGAGUUGCCGAUGGAUGAUAUGCAGAGGCUACCAAGUGGUAGCUCCAAUCUUGCAAUUGAAGGUCAGCAAUGGGUGCUUCUCCUGGGACGGCUCACCUGAGAUACCAACACUGAAGGAUCUGAAUUUUCAAGAUCAGCAAGGCAUGCGUGUUGCAGUCUAUGGGAUGAUCGGCUCUGGAAAAUCAAGUUUGCUCUUUUACAGUCUGUGGGAUGACCGGCUCUCAGUGAGGUGCCAAAGCUAUUAGGAGAUGCCAAGACUUCCGGAACAAUGGCAUAUGCCAGCCAGACAGUAUGGAUGCAGAGCGGCAAAAAUUCAGGACAACAUACUGUUUGACAAGGAGAUGGAGAGUGAGAAGUAUGGCAGGGUCCUUGUGUGGUGUUCGCUGAAGAAAGACUUGGAGAUCAAAGUCAUUUAUGGUUGUGUGUGUUUCUAUUGAUGUGUUUGCCCUGUUUGUUCAUUGCAUAUUCAGUUGUUCGAAAAAGGGGUGUCAUUUGUGCCAGGUUAAUCAACUAGGGAAAGUAACACUUGAUCACAGGGUAAUAAAGUUAGUAGGUGUAUGUAAAGUUAUGUAGCUUCGUCAAACAUAUGUGACGUUUUAGUUGUUGGUCAGUUAUGUAGCUGCUCUCCAAUGACCUUUUGAAUUCAACAUGUCAUCAAUCAAAUAUACAAGGAGGACACGUAACAAAUCAGAAAGAAAGUAGCAAGUUGUUAAAUCUGAUUUGCUGCUUUCAUUUUGUGGAACUCUAUAGCUUGUGAAAUAUUCAUGUGUUAUAUCUUGUACGCCUCUUGUGAUUUUACCAAUGGAGUUGGCUCUAGCUCUUGAAAAGAUGGUGAAUGAGAAGCUUCCCAACCUGCCCACUGUAAGUUUCUUCUUCAUGCCUAUUUACAAGGAAAAUUACUUUAAAAGUAUUUGUGUGUGUGUGUGUGUUUGGCCCACUGAAUUCCUAAUUAUUUAUCCGAACCAGUACAUGCAAACGUCACACCAUAUCUAAAACAUUCAUCCCAAAUUUAACAGGUAGCAACAAGGUGAAAAGAUCCUUAGCUGAGCAUCUUUGUUGAGCAACGGACAUGAGGCGCGUGGGGUAUUAAGAGGAAAUGGACUCUCUGGAGCUUUCUUACAGUGAGGACAGGAUCCCCUCUUGCCCAAGGUUAAAUUCCUCAACUAUCUAGCCCCGUGAUGCCAAUGGUUCUCUUCCUUUCUUCUCUUCAAAAUCUGUCAGCAGCAAGCUCUGUCUAAAUGUAUGGUACUUAUCUAAGGGGAUGUCACAGUAUUUUUAUUUUAAAUACCUGUUAUUAUAGGUCCCUUGAGUGCUUAGCUGAAAUUUGCUGGUUUACUAGCUCUCUGAAAGGGUAUCACUGUAGAGCAACUAUAGCAUGCAACUGCUAUAAUUGUAUAUAUAGUUUGUAUUUAUCACUAAGAUGGGUCAUCAAGAUGUUCUGCAUCAAAGGUGUUGGCAGUGCUACAGUUGAAAAAAUAAGAUGACUUUGUGGUGUUACUACUGCCUGAGAAGUAGCAACCUCCCACAAAAGGUAUAACAAAGUCGUUACUAUGGCAGAAAAAGUAGUACAGUAAAGCAUGUACCAGAUAUACUGGGAGAAAAUGCCACGUGAUAAAAGAACGACUUCAAAUGAAUGCAUAUGUCUUGAAAUGAACUUUUUAUCAUGUUGUGGUUGAUUACUGGAACCAUACUUAAUUUGUUAUCUGUUAGGCAGAAUAUAUGAUAUUGACAGGAUCUUUUUUGAUGUGAUACAGGAAGCAGGUAAAUUUCUUUUGUCAAUUGUCAUACAAUAUUCUAACCUCCCGCCUGGCAGUACCAUCUACAAUGAUGUUUUCACCUAGCUUGAUCUUCUGCAUUGCAUAUACUUCCAGUUUUUAAUAUGUAUCCUGUGUAUACUGAUUGUUUCCCUCUAUUGUGUGUAAGCCGCAUUUUCUAAUCGAUCCUAUUUAGUGUCGCAAUUCGGGGACUUAUUGGAGAUAUCAUCCUAUUGCCUACUAUCAACAUUAGAAGUCAAAAAUGAGUAGAAAUGUGAGGGGUGGUGCAAGGAGUAUCCCUUGCAGGCUGCCCCCACGUCAAGUUCGAUGAGGUUGGAGUUUUAAAGUUUUAAA